rnacentral:tRNA from 1 species
GCGCCGCGUGGCUGGACGGUGCAGCACGUGGUGCCGCCGUUUCAGCAGGACGAUGCGGUGCAAGUGGCGUUCGCGCCGCCCGGCGGCGCGC